rnacentral:rRNA from 1 species
GACGAACGCUGGCGGCGUGCUUAACACAUGCAAGUCGAACGAUGAAGCUGGAGCUUGCUCCGGUGGAUUAGUGGCGAACGGGUGAGUAACACGUGAGCAAUCUGCCCUUGACUCUGGGAUAACUGCGGGAAACUGUAGCUAAUACCGGAUACGAGACCUGAAGGCAUCUUCGGGUCUGGAAAGAAUUUCGGUCAAGGAUGAGCUCGCGGCUUAUCAGCUAGUUGGUGAGGUAAAGGCUCACCAAGGCGACGACGGGUAGCCGGCCUGAGAGGGUGACCGGCCACACUGGGACUGGGACACGGCCCAGACUCCUACGGGAGGCAGGAGUGGGGAAUAUUGCACAAUGGGCGCAAGCCUGAUGUAGCAACGCCGCGUGAGGGAUGACGGCCUUCGGGUUGUAAACCUCUUUUAGCAGGGAAGAAGCGAAAGUGACGGUACCUGCAGAAAGAGCACCGGCUAACUACGUGCCAGCCGCCGCCGUAA